UACGUAGGUGGCAAGCGUUAUCCGGAUUUACUGGGUGUAAAGGGCGAGUAGGCGGGAUUGCAAGUCAGAUGUGAAAACUAUGGGCUCAACCGAUAGAGUGCAUUUGAAACUGCAGUUCUUGAGUGAUGGAGAGGCAAGCGGAAUUCCCGGUGUAGCGGUGGAAUGCGUAGAUAUUAGGAGGAACACCAGUGGCGAAGGCGGCCUGCUGGGCUUUUACUGACGCUGAGGCUCGAAAGUGUGGGGAGCAAACAGG
rnacentral:rRNA from 1 species